ACAAGUACCGUGAGGGAAAGUUGCAAAGCACUUUGAAGAGAGAGUUAAAGAGGACGUGAAACCGAUGAGAUGGAAACGAACAGAGCUGGCGUAUCUGGUCUGCAUUCAUCCGUGUGUUCUUGGGCGUUUGGAUUGCCACUCUCCAGACUGGGAUGGUGUUCAUUCUGUUCAGGGGCUCAUGGAGCAUUUGCAGGCGGAGUGCGCUGAGAUGCUCGGAACAGCUGUAUGAGCUUGGCUUUGAGGCCAGCCCUUCGGGGUCUGGUACCCGGGCUGUGGGAGUGCUGUUUGUUCUGGGUGCUGAGUGUGUGCAAUGGCAACGGGUCCGUGUUGGUUUGAGCUGGCGGUCGGUGGCGGUCGCGUGCGACACGUGCCAGCAGUCAGUUCGGUCCUGCUCGGGCUCUCAUUGCAUGUUCUCGGUGUAAAAGCCGGUCAUCUGUCCGACCCGUCUUGAAACACGGACCAAGGAGUUUAGCGUGUGCGCGAGUCAUUGGGAGUUGAAAACCCAAGGGCGUAAUGAAAGUGAAGGUCUCCUUGCGGAGCUGAUGUGUGAUCUCGUGCACCCCGGUGUGCGGGCGCAACAUAGUCCCGUCCCGAUCGCAUGCGAUGGGGCGGAGACAGAGCGUACGCGCUGAGACCCGAAAGAUGGUGAACUAUUCCUGAGCAGGAUGAAGCCAGAGGAAACUCUGGUGGAAGUCCGAAGCGAUUCUGACGUGCAAAUCGAUCGUCUGACUUGGGUAUAGGGGCGAAAGACUAAUCGAACCAUCUAGUAGCUGGUUCCUUCCGA
rnacentral:rRNA from 1 species